GGCCUCGUAGCUCAGUUGGUAGAGCGCUUACCGCGUUGAGGUAUGGUGUUUCUAUCGUUGGUUCGAAUCCAGCCGAAGCCU
rnacentral:tRNA from 1 species